UGGGGCCUCUCCAUUUUCUGCAUCCAGAAUGAACAUCUAAUCAAGAUCUUGCCAGUAGGACUGUGUAUGGAUUCUUCAUUAGUUAUUUGAUUUGUACCAGCAGCAACACAACGGGCAACUAUUCUUUUGCACCUUUGGGAAGCGGAUAAAGAGGGAUAAUAGCAGAGGUAGAUGGUAACCUUCAAUCGCAGGGUUUUUGCUGAUGGAAACCUCAACUUUACAGCUUAGGAAGUAGCACUCAAGUUCCAGUGAGCUGUUGAGACUUGAAUGAGAAGAUGUUCAUGAACAUGUCUGAUAAACUGCUGCACAAAAAUGAAAGUUUCCAGUGGCUAAACAAAAGUUCCAGAAGCAAGAAAUUUCCAACAGGAAAUACAGAGCCAAAGAAAAGGCAAGUGAACCACCAAGAAUGUGAGCCGGUAUGUCCAUGGCGUUUGCGCAUUUGUGCUGCAGCCACAAGAUACCGAAGUGUCAGUGACUUGCCACACAUAGAAACUUUGUUUUUGCUUUUUUCUACAACUAUACUUUUGCUUUUUCUCAUGAAAUUCCCAAAAGGGAUGUUCCUGCUUAUGUAGCUCCCCAGGGCAGUUCCCUUCCAGGGGAAGAUCCAGGGACAUAGAUGCUUCUAUCUGGUGGCCUCCUCAUUCCCCAGCAUGAAAGUAAAGAGCGUAGUAAACAUCACUGAGGAAGUUAGAGGGACUGAGCCAGGAAGGGGCUUGCGUGACUUCUACCCAUGUUCCUCUAACAGGGCUGUGUCAGAUGGGCUCCCUUAUAAGGGUGGCUCGGAGAGAUCAUCUUUCUCGGUAACCAGGUUAAGGCGUGUAAGACUGGGGACAGAGGCUUUCACAAGUACCAUGGUAGUAUUAUCUCUGCCACAGUGAGCAAAUACCCAUUUUAUCACCACAUGAGCUUAUAGACUAUGCUCACUCUUUCCUUAAGAGAACAUAUCAGGGUCUUACUGAAUCACUGCUCUAGCUCAAAACCCAGAUCUCUCCAGUGAUGUGUGACUACUUUUCCAUUUUCUUCAUCUGUAGAUACAAAGAUGACUACCAAGCAACCUUUAAUUAAAAAGAUAGCUGAUCUAGUUCCCCAGCAUAUUCAAGAUAUAAUGUUAGACAGGGAUAGGAUGACAGCAGCAAACAGGUGAGCACGGCACUGCAAUUGCUGGUGCAUAGCAAUGAUGAGAUUCUGGAAAGCAGACACUGGAUGGCUCUUUGUGCUGGGUGCUGAGGGAGUUCUUUGGCUAAAUCCUAACUCUGUUCUUCAAGAAGAACCCUUGUCUGUCAUUUCCCCAGGACCCUUGGCUCUGUCCUUUGGAAGUCCAUUCUUGUCUACUGUCCCCCUCAGCUUCCAUGGAGAUCAGAAUUGGGGAGGACACUCAGCUUACCUACAGUGAAAUGUGUGCAGCUGACUUCUUGCUCUCAAGGCAAGCCCGAAUGCUGUAUGAGGUGUUUAGCACUCAACGGCAUUUUUCGCUGGAACUUAAUGCUUUCUUUCUUUGCAUAUGCAUUUUUCUUAAAAACAUACAUUCUAGCUUCUAGUUAGUUCUAUAUACCACAAACCAGUCUCAUAAUUCUUUUUUAGACGUAACUUUUCUCACGUCUGUCUUACUUCUUUCCUUCCUCAUUCACAAAUUUACUCUCUCAAUUUAAAGGAAAUUACACUGAGGCUGAUAGGAGUGGGAAGACCACAAGUGUUCAUCGGGUUCAUUUUUCAUAUCCUUUAAAGUCCUGUUCCUUACUGUUUGGGGUCUAGAAGCAAUCCUGAAAGACCCCAAGUUUGUUUGUUUGUUUGAUUGUUUUGAGACAAGCUCUCACUAUGUAGUGCAGGCUGGCCUUGAACUCACUCAUGUAACUCAGGUUGGCCUCUGACACACAGCAAUCUUCCUGCCUUGGCCUCCCAAAUGCUGGGAUUUCAGGUAUGUGCCACCAUGCCUGGCUGUCCAAGUUUUUUGAUGGUAUCCAUUUCUUCUCUUUUUCUCUUAGUAGUCAGCAGUCUUUGUUGAGCUCAUGUUUUUCUUAUAAUGCAUUGUCGAACCCACAUGAUAACAGACAAUAUAGAGGGAUGCUUAGAAGCGUAUACAAUUAUCAUGUGAGAAUCACAGCUAAGGAUGUAGAUUGUAGCUGGUGUGGUUGAAUGUUUGGAGAGUCUGAGAAAAGACUUUCCUUCAGGCACAUUACACAAGAAUUAGAAAGCUGUGCCCGCUCCAUGUUAGUGGUAAAUCUGCCAACAUUCUCUUAGUUGUUGAGCUCUGGGGAGUUAGAAAAAGAAAUGGAGGACAUAGUCUCUAAAUUAAAGGAGGUUGCCAAUGCUACACAAUGAAGCAUUCAUUGUACACAUCUAUCAUCUAUUUUUCUAUCUAAUCUUAACCCAUAUAUCUUCCAUAAGCAUAUCAGAGACACAACUAUAUUUUCUGAACCAAAAAUUGGGACAUAUGGCCUAUCAUUGAGAAUGCACUUUUGAGAACAGUGGAACAGGACGUUUGAAGUUGUAAUUGACUCAGGAAAUCCAGGGCAUUUGGUUGCUAGACAUACUAUCUGGGUUGAAAAAUGAGGUUUGAAGAAAGGCUGAAGUGAAAGCCCAAAAGAGAUAAGCCAGGAGGAAAUUAGAAGUCUCUCCCCUGCCAGUGUUUGAUGGAGAAUCUAGUGUUAACCUAAAAAUGGGAACUGACAGGAACAGAACGUCUAAACAAAUGUGCACAAUUCUGUGCAUUUCAUUCCUCACAUACCUUACUGUCCAAUUAGAGUUUCAUUCUCUCAUUUAUUUUCCUCUGCUUUUGUAUUUAACAAAUGGUUUCUGAGCAGAGCCUACACAGGCAUUAUGUUAGAUAUGAUGGUCACUGGGGAAGCAAAGCAAUCUUUGCCUCACCUUUUUAGCCUAGUUAGGGAGAUAGGCAUUAGUCUGUUAUCCUAUAAAUUAACAUGCAACAAAUCUCUGAUAAAGACUAUAAAGGUCAUUAUAGAAUACUACAGGUUGUGUAGGAAGGACCUAGUCCACCCUGGUGAGGGUGAUAAAAGGCUUCCUGGAGGGAGGGAGUCUGAGCAGAAGAUUCCAGGUGGGGGAAGGAAGUGAGAAGGUGACAGAAGUAGGCGGUGCGCAGACUCUCCAGGCACAUAGCCCUGGAGGAGUGAGCUAGGAAAACAGAUUGCAUGGGCCUUCCAAACCUGGUGCAAACGGAGACAGUCAUAUCACGCAAAGCAGGGAGCAGGUUGGUGAGGUGCAGUGAAUGACUGAGGUCUGUAGUUUUAAAAAAUGAGAUACAAUGCAAAGAGUCUUCCUUAGGAGAGAGACAGGAUCAAGUUGGCCUUUGAAGGAAUUACUCUGGUUAAGGAGGGAGAAAGGAGUAGAUGUGAGGGGAUCACUUAGGAUCUUGUUCAUUAUUCCCAAGAGUGAUCAUGGUGGCUUGGUUUGUAAAGCCCUUCCUGAUUUGACCAUGCCAACCUGUUAUGGUUUGUGUCUGGGUGUCACUCCAAAGCCACAUGCAGUCACGGGGUGGGCUUUUCGAGUUUAUGAUUGAUACACAAUCCAAGGCUGGGAUUAUGGGUGUGAGUGCUACACCUGCCCUGGGGCAGAGAGUUUGCAUGUGUAAGGGAGAGAAAGAGGCUCCUUACCACCCCUCCCCCUCCCUUUUGCUCUUGCUGUUUUCACUAUCUUCCACCACCAUGAACUCUGCCAUGUGCCGCUCUGCCUUGGAGCCAGCUGAGUAUGGACUGAAACCGCCAUUAACUGUAAGAUAAAUAAUCUUUCCUUCCUUAAUUCUGGGUAUUUUGUCCCAGCAACGAGAGAAAAUUAACCAAGACACUACCUCGCCACUCUCCCCAUCCACACUGAGCUUUCUAAGUAGGCUCCUAUCUCAUACUUUGCAACUAUUGCUUCUUUCUUCUGUAACAACCUUCUGUCCUCCUCCAGUUCCUCCACCUCCUUCUGUGUUUCCUGGAUAAUUCAUAUUCAUUUCUCAAAUUAGUUUAUUUCUAAUCUAGGAAGCGUUGCCUGACAUCUCUCUGAUGUUCCAUCUCCUUAACUCUUUCUCCAGAGCUGACUUGGAAAUUCCUCCUACUCAGUUCUAUAGUCUCAUUUGCAUACACCUGCAGCUUCCUACAGAAUCAUUUACAUACAUUGGUGGUAGCCCAUACUGAACUAUAUUACAUUUGUUUUCUUGUUUAUUGUACUAGGGGGCCAUUAAGUAAGAAUGAUAUCUGUCUUAUUUUAACCUACCACAUAAUAUGUACUCAAUAAAUGUUUAAUUAAAUUUCAUAAUAACCAUGUACCUAAAUAUCCUAAAUAUUUUAAGGUACGUGGAUGUUUUUCUCACUAUUCUCAUAUCAAAAUCACAUUUUAAUAGUGUAAUAUUUGGAAGUUAAUGAGUUAAGCUUCCAUUUACUAAUUUCGAAAAAAAAACAUGUAUAUUAUACUCCUUGUGAAGAGAUAGUAGUUGAUGAACUUGGCUUGCAACACAGUACUCAUUUUGAUGAACUUACUCAUUGACAUUUUAUUAUAAAUAGAAAGUGAAAAAUACAUAGCUUUAUUCUCCUGACAGUAUGAUAUACUGACUGGCUGCUGUUGUUGUCCUGAUCCUGGAACUGUAGUCAUUAAAAAAAUGAAUAAAGUGCCAAC
ensembl:lincRNA